UUUCUGUUUUUUGUCGAUCGU
rnacentral:piRNA from 1 species